CCUACGGGGGACUGCAGUGGGGAAUAUUGCACAAUGGGGGAAACCCUGAUGCAGCGACGCCGCGUGAGUGAAGAAGGAAUUCGGUAUGUAAAGCUCUAUCAGCAGGGAAGAAAAUGACGGUACCUGAGUAAGAAGCCCCGGCUAACUACGUGCCAGCAGCCGCGGUAAUACGUAGGGGGCAAGCGUUAUCCGGAUUUACUGGGUGUAAAGGGAGCGUAGACGGCAGUGCAAGUCUGGAGUGAAAGGCGGGGGCUCAACCCCCGGACUGCUCUGGAAACUGUACGGCUGGAGUGCAGGAGAGGUAAGUGGAAUUCCUAGUGUAGCGGUGCAAUGCGUAGAUAUUAGGCGGAACCCCAGUGGCGACGGCGGCUUACUGGACUGUACCUGACGUUGAGGCUCGAAAGCGUGGGGAGCAAACAGGAUUAGAUACCCGAGUAGUC
rnacentral:rRNA from 1 species